UUGGAGGAGAGCGACUGUAUGUCGCUUUUCAAUAAGCAUGCGUUCCUCGGUGUGCGCCCUCAUGAUUAUAAAAACCUGCAGUUGAUCGGCGAGCAGAUAGUGAAGAAACUUGGAGGAAGCCCAUUGGCAAUAAAGAUCAUGGGAGGAAUACUGAAUUCCUGCAUGGACUAUGAAUAUUGGAAGAAAAUCUUGGAAGAAGACAUCAUGAAAUUACAACAAGGAAAGGACGGCAUCAUGACAAUUUUGAGAUUAAGCUACGAUCACUUGCCCGCAAACUUACAACUCUGCUUUAGAUAUUGCAGUUUAUUUCCGCAGGAUCAUGUGUUUAAGAGGAAAACAUUGGUCAAUAUGUGGAUUGGUUCGGGUCUGAUUCCACAAUCUAUUUGUGGCAGGCAAAGGCAGCCAGAGGAUAUCGGAAAGGAGUAUUUAAAUCUUCUGACAAGAAAAUCAUUCUUUACAUGCAAAACCAGCGAUAAUAUGUUGAAAAUUACUAAAGAGUAUUUUAUGCACGAUCUGCUCCAUGACCUAGCACAAUCAGUUUCUCUAGGAGAAUGCAUCAGAAUAGGAGGUGACGUCGUAGGAAUUACUAUUCCACGAACAGUUCGACAUUUAUCUAUUGAAAUGGUCAAUCUUCUUUCCAUCAGAGCGAUCUCCAAUCUUAAGAACGUGCGCACUCUAAUCAUUUCUGUUAAAGAGUAUAAUAAGCAUAAUGCACUUCAUGUACCUGAAUUUAUGAAGAUUAUAAAAGGGUUUAAAAAGUUACGCUUAUUGAUCUUAGAUGUGAAUAUUAUUAACACUUAUAAACUGCUUGAUGCACUUAGUAGCUUGAUACACCUCCGCUACCUAUCUCUUUCACUGGAGGAUGUUGUGGAUGAAAGUAUUAAAUAUGAUGGCUUGACCAAUGAAAGUAUUGAAUAUGAUGGCCUGACCAACUUGGUCAAUUUGCGUUCAUUACAUGUUCCCUAUCUCGUGACAAACAAUAUUCCUUAUAUUAGCAAACUACCCUUCAUCCGCAAAUUAGAAGAUUUUUUUGUCCGAGAGGAGAGUGGCUACAAAAUCAGCGAACUAAAGAACCUAAGAGACCUUCGUCAUCUUCACAUUAGUGGACUUAGAAAUGUGAGGAGUCCUGAAGAAGCCAUUGAGGCCAAUCUAAAUGAGAAAAAACAUCUCAAAUCACUAUCAUUGGAUUGGUCCACAUACCGCUCCAAUAGCGCAGAGGCAGAUGAACAGCUCCUCGAUAACCUUUGCCCUCAUAUCAAUCUCAAGAAAAUGCACAUCGAACAAUACCAAGGUGCUAAAUCUCCAUGCUGGAUGACAGGUCUGUCGCUCAUCAAUUUGACAUCUAUCAAACUGAUGCACUGUAAACGAUGGGAGCACCUCCCGCCUCUUGGGCAGUUUUCUUCGCUCCAACUUCUUUUCUUGUGGGGACUGCAUGCAAUAAAGCAAAUGGAUUGUUCAGUCUUUGGAAGCAGUAGUGGAUGUGCCUUUCCAUCAUUGAAGCACUUAUGGUUACGGGAUAUGCCUAACUUGGAGGAGUGGAUUGGAAUUGAUGAUAGGUGCAUUUUUCCUCAACUUCAUUCUAUGUAUAUUGCUGAUUGCCCUAAUUUGAGAGGAAUUCCUACUCUGCAUUAUGGUCUAAGAGAUUUGCAUAUUUCUAAUGUCGGAUUGACCGCUUUUCCAACAAUAAAUCAAGAUUCCGCAAACAACAAUGUAAGUGCUUUAUUUUAUAAACUUUAAAUUUCUCUCCUGAGGUUUAGCUCAUUUUCACUUGCCCUCCUGUAGUUCAAAAAAAGUAUCACUUUGCCCCCUCCCAUGGUUUAGCCGCUUAUUUUCACUUUGUCAUCCCGUGGUUCAAAAAGUUACACUUUGCCUCCUUUGGUUUAGUUUAUUUUUCACUUUGCUAUCCUAUGAUUUUUUAAACAUUUUUAAUUUGCCACGCUAUUUUAUAUAGAAUUUUUUUGCUGAAAUAAAAAUUAAUCUACAGGAGGGCGAAGUAAAACUUUUUGAACCACAAGGUGGCAAGGUGAAAAUGAGUUAAAUCACACGGUAGCAAUUUGAAGUUUACUCUUAUAUCAAAACACCAAUUCGAAUUUGCAUAGCUGUGGUUGCCGAGACUUAAAUAUCUUUUACAUCUUUCCUUUCUUGCAGCAGCAAGAACAUUUUCAGGCUCUUGAGAGGUUGGUCAUCGGACAAUGUGAGAAGCUCGAAUAUUUUCCAACAGAUUUUUUUGGGAAAUUCAAUGCCAUAAAAUCCCUGUGUGUAGAGAAGUGUCCGAAGUUGACAAAACGUGGGAUCUCAGACAUCCAAGUGCCCUCUGUACUCGGUGAUCUCACAAUUGGGUCAUGUGGCGACCUUGAGGCGCCAUUGCUGUGGUCAGCGAAUUUAACCUCUCUUACUGAGUUGAAAUUAUUCGAUUGUGCAAGGAUAGCAUCCCUUCCCCCAGCACAAGUGUGUGCACGAUGGACGAUGCUUUCCCGUCUAAUGAUAAAGAACUGCAAAGAACUGUCAUCAUUUGGCGGAAUACAAGCUCUCAUAUCCCUCCGAUAUUUAGAUAUUGAAGGGUGUGACAAGCUAAUUGAAGUUGCCCUGCUGCUGCAGCCUCCGUUCCCAAACGAUGUCGGCCGAAAAAAGAAUGCUGCAGGACUGGACUGCUUUUUGAAGAAUGGCAGACUAUCAAUUGACCACCACGCGCUCCUGCUCAUGGAGCCAUUGAGAAGUCUGACCUUCGUCAGUGUUUUCUAUUUCAAUCCCGCUUCGCAACCCACCAGCUUACCUGAGGAAUGGCUACUGCAAAAUCACGCUGCCCUCGAAAAGAUAAUCAUAUCGGGCGCAUGCUCCCUUCAGUCCCUACCCCGGAGCAUGACAAAAUUGUGCUCCCUCGAGUUUUUGGAAGUGUGGAAUGCUAACCUCAUCCAGUCACUUCCAGAUCUGCCUAAUUCCCUACAUACUCUACGCCUCAACUGCUGUCACCCUGUGUUGAAGGAGCGAUGCCAAGAGAAUAUAGGCCUUGAUUGGCCCAAGAUUGCCAACAUCCGUUAUCUGAGGAUUGCAUAGCAUUAUUUGCAGAUCGUGAUGAUGAUGCAUAUUAAUUGUAAGUACACUCUACCGCCCUUCAUCUCGUAACCCUUUGUUGUAAAUAAUGCAAUUCAUUUUGGUCUUAAUUAAUGAACUACAUACAUCUCAUUCAGUCUUAACAAAGUUAUCUCAUUUCUUACGGGAUUAAUUGCUCACCUUUUUUCAGAUAAUGCAAGAGUAGCCAGGUUCCUUUUUAAUUAGCAUCCUCAAUGGAAUUUUUACAUUUUGUACUCUCAUUUUAUGAUUUGGAUACAUAAAAAGGGGAAUAAAGCACUAAUUGCCUCCUAUAAUACAUUGUGCUCGCAGGACGGAUUGGUCUUAUAUAUAAAACAAACAAUGUAAUGAAUAUAACAUAUGUUAAUUGCUAGCAUGUCAAUUGCUUUCUAAAGUUAAAUAUGACUAAUUAUGCAGUAAUUUCUCUCUAGGAGUGCAAAUAAGACUAAAGUCUCGCUGAUGAGUUAGAACAAAAGAGAAGCAUGACAAAAGCUUUUUAAGUUUGUUAAAUUUCUUGUUGCAGGGGUGAUGAUGCAUAUUGUACGUACAUUGUUAGAUGUGACUUGAAAUUGAUAAUCGACUUCAGUUCGGGGUUUCGACUUGCCGGCAGUUUCGCGGUGCGGCCAAAUUGGAAAAUAAAGUUGUGAAGGAAAAAUGAAUAUCUGUGGUGGAUAGCAGAGGGCUCGGGCCAACCCGCGGUACGGAUCGGAUCCGAAACCGUUAAGAGUUUCCUUUUCAUUUUUGCCCUAAAGGCGAUAGAUCAUGGUCGGUUGUAUCUUGAACAUUGUAUUUCCCUUUUUCGACAGUGAAGUUCUCUCCUCCCUCGCCCGUGGUUUUUCCCUGCAAAGAGGUGUUCCAUGUAAAUCUGUGUGUUCUUCUUUUUCUGCUAGUGGUUUGUUUAUUUCGUGUUCGUCAUUUUCGUUUUCCGUUUGUGCGUUUGUCAUAACAUACACUUUACCGCCCUUCACCUCGCCCAUGCUACCCUUUGUCAUUGAUGCAAUUCAUCCUGGUCUUAAUGAACAAGUUCUCAUUCAAUCCUAACAAGUUUAUCUCAUUUGUUACAGGUUUACUUCCUUUUUUUCUGGACACUGCUCUUUUUUGGAUAAUGCAAGAGCAGCCAGGUUCAUAUUUAACUUAGCAGACUCGAAAGAAUUUAUACUUUUCACCCUUAAUUUACAGUUUGGAUACUGGUCAGUUGUUACAUCUAUCUUGCUAGGCCUGAAUAUUGAAGCAAUGGAUUAGUCAUGUAAGACAAACAAUGCAAUGAUUAUUAUAAAUAUAUGUUGCCCCAGUAAUUACUUAAUUUCUACAAUUAAACAUGACUAGCUAGUUGUCCAGUAAUUCUUUCCAGGGGAAAUUAGAGAAGCGCGACAAAGCAUUCGAGUUGUUUCAAGGAAUUAAGGAUUAGGACAUCCUUCGUCUUACUGCGUGCAUGUGUUCUUCUAUUUUCUUGGUGCAGGUUUAGAGAAAGACUCCAUGUAAUAUUGCAUUUUCUUUCUUUUUAUUUUCUAUUGCCAGAUGAGUACUUGAAAAUGUUUAAGAAAGAAAUUAUCCUCUUUUGGAGCAAAUUAAGAGGUUAAGCUUAAAUGCUUCAACUCUGUUUCCCCUCACUUUUUCUGCAUUUAUCCGAAAGAUAUUUUAAUAUUGUUUGAUUCAUGUAAAAGUAGCAAACCUCAUCGCAUGGUGAGCUUGUUUUGUUUGUGUAUUAUCUGAUGAAGUUGCUGAGCUUCUUUGAAGUAGCUUAAAAACCUAAUUUGGAAACUGCUUAUUUCAAACUAUGUUUAUUUAGCAGCAUAACAAGCAUCCAGAUUAAGCUUGUGAACUUAAUUUCUGCAGUAUAAAUUAUACAUUAAGUUUUGUUAAACUUAUUUUAAGUUUCUAGUGCAGGUUUCAUCGACAUCUGGAGUAAAUUUGGUAGGCGUGCUCCGUCGAAAAGACUCGGUCAGACUCUUUGUAAAAGGAAAAUGACGGCUACACUGGAGGCGGCAUGAACUCGCAACCAUAUUCUGCAGCUACCAUAUUUUAAUCUCUUUAUCAGAUUUUUUUUAAAAAAUUUAUUUUCCUAAUGCAUUGAAGACAGAAAAACACAUUCGGAACCGAACCAUUUCGGUAAUUGUUGCUCAUGUUCAGUUCAGUCUUCAAUCUGUAUAAGUUUUGUUUUCAUUCGGAUUUUUCGAACAAUGCAUUUCAAUGUACCUUUUCUGUCUGUACUGAGUACACUCCAUUGUGCAGCUCCUUAUUUCCCCCCCUUUUUUUUAUUUACAUUCUCUUAACUUCUUUUUUUUUUCCGAGUUAUUUUAGUUUGUUCAAGUGAAAACUUUGUUAAGUUUCAUGGUUCUAUUAACUGUCGGUUGAUUCAGUUUAUUUGCUAAAAGCUGAUUAAAACCAUUGAAGUAUGGAAAAUGCUUCUUGUACACCCCAAAAUGGGGUGUACAUCUUACACCUACAAUUCUAGAGUUGAUAAAAAUUGAAUUGGUUUUUAGUAAAAUUUUAAAAAAUUGAUGUGACAAGAAUGACUUUAGGAUAGAGUGAGUGUAAAAUGUACACCCCCCUUUUAGAAUGUAUCUGUAGCAUUGCUCUUAAAGUAUUAGUUUUUUUAAAUAAUUCAAUGCUUUUUGAAAGUAAUUUUUAGUAGUUCUACGCGAAAGCAAACUGUAUGCACCGCCCAUAUAUAUGAUCCCAAAAGUUUGAUCUCAAAUAUCUAAAAAGCAUAUAUUGGAAAAAUUAUGAAUUUUGAAAAGGGUAAACUUCAAAUUGGCCACUUGCCGUUUUAGCUUUUUUUUUAUUUUGCCAUUUCAUUUCAUGGUACAAAGUGUUGCAUUUUACUGUUAUGUGGUUUACCACAUAUUUCACUUUGUCAUCAUUUAAUUAUUUUAAAAAUUUUUUACUUUGCUACUUAAUUGGAUAUAGAAUUUUUAAUAAAUAAAAAUUAAAUCAUCUGUGAUUAACCGAACGGGGGACAUCCCAACCCGCUGGAAUCGCAAUAGAUAUAUACUGUCGGGAACUACUAGAACACUAUUCGACCUCUGUUUUACUGCAGCAUGUUGGGCUCUUUGGAAAGAGCGAAAUUCGAGGAUCUUUCGCAAUCGACGAGUCACGCACGAAGAAAUGGGAAAAUCCAUUAUGGCUGAAGUACAGUUCUGGAGAUCCACCUGGGGGGGAUGAUUGAGUUUGGAUUGUGGGUUCAACUUAUGUAAUUCAUUUUUCUGUAUGUGCUGAUUUUACUCUUUGUUCCACUGUACUCCAAAAAUAGGGUAAAUCCCUGUUUAAUCAAAAAAAAAAAUUAAAUCAUCGCAGUAGAGCAAAGUGUAAUUUUUUAAACUAUAGAAUGACAAAGCAAAAAUGUGCUGUACUUCAAGGGGGCAAUUUGAAGUUACCAAAACCAACCCUCCUGUGUCGAGUAGUCUAGAGAAUUAAUGGUAAAAAAAAAAAGAGAAAAUUCUUUUUCAAUUUAUAAGAAAUCGGUGUCAAUUUUUUUUUUUUUUUUUUUUUUUUUUUUUUUUUUUCUGUACAUCGGCCAAUUAAAUACAAACGGUGCAGCCAAUAAUUAAUUCCCUUAUGCAAUUACUUCUACAUUAAUAUGAUUUCAAUGAGUAUCUUUUUAAAAUCCAAGCCCAAUUAAACUAACGUGAUGACUAUAUAUUAAAAAAAAUUAAUACAAUAUUUUGAAAAAAACAAAAAGAAAGCUUAUUACUGUAACAUCAAGUAAAAUCAAAAAUCAAUAAUUGUCUAUAAUUCACCCAUAAAGUACUAGUUAAAUUUUAGACUAAAAUAUAGAAAAUUUUUCUGUAAAUAUAUAUCAUGUCAUUUUCUUCUUCUAUUUUGAAAAAAUCUGCAUUAUUUUUCUCUCUGAAUUUUAAGUUUAUGCACUUGGGCCCCAUUGUUACUUGUUAGGUUUCGUCACUGGUCCAUCUAUUUCUUAUAAUUUAUAAUUGAAAAUACCGAAUAGAUACUUAAAAGUACUGAAAAUAUAUUAAAAAAUUAUUUUUUCCCUCCAGAAUGAGUAAGAAUAGUUUUGUCAUUUCACCCACUCCGUUAAUGUUAUAAUUCUCUGAAGACAUAUUUAAAAUUUUAAAAGAAAAAAAUAUACAAUUUUAAAAAAUAGAAAAAAUAUCUUAAUCUUAAUUUUAGUCUAAAUUUUAAUCUUAAGACCUCUAUCACGGAAGUAGCUGAUGUAAUUAUAUGCAAACAAUAAUUUCUCCCUCAGAGAGGGUUUGGAAUAGGGAUGUCAAUGGGUAUGGAUACCCGAAAUUUAUCCGAACCCGAACCCGAAUGAAACGGAUAUAUCCGAUGGAUAUGGAUAUGGAUUCGGAUAUGGAUAUCAAAAAUAGAAACCCGACAGAUAUGGAUUCGGAUAUGGAUUUUGACUGUACCCGACCCGAACCCGAACCCGACCCGAAUCCAACCCGAACCCGAAUUAUUUUGUAUUAUAUAUAAUAUAUAUACAAAUUUGAUGUUAUAUUUGAAUUUAUAUUUUAAAAAUUUAGAUUUAAUAUAAUAUAUUUUGAAAUAUUGAAAAAAAAAAAUUGUUUCGGGUUCAAAUUUUCAGGUUCGGGUUCGGGUUCAGGUUCAGGUUUCGGUCGGGUUCGGAUUUGGAUAUAGAUUUUUAAAAUUCGUCGGGUUCGGGUUCGGGUUCGGAUCUCGGGUUUGGAGUCGGAGUCGGAUUCGGGUUCGGAUUUUUAAAAAUCCAUCCCGAAUCCGACCCGUUGACAUAUCUAGUUUGGAAGUUGGAGAGGACGGAUCAAUUCCUCUGCCGACAAUAAUUGAGUUUGGUUGAUUACGACUGAAGGUAGACAAAUUUCCUGCAUAUUGACUUGUAAGUCUUCUCUGCGAAACUCUUCUUUCAUUUCCUCCCCUCUCCCAAAAAGCACUCAAGAAAUUUCUCUUCGCCAUUUUUUUUUUUUUUUGUUAUGUACUAAAUACCUGUUAAAGAUUGUGAAACAAUCCCUUGGUUUUAAAAACUUAAAUUGCUACGGAAUGAUAUUCUAUUUUAAUAAUUAUAUUCAAUACUCCUUUUUGUUACUAGACUCCAAUCCCUUUUUAUAGGCACCUCUCAAAACUGAAGUUACUAAUUAUGCAUUCAAAUUAGUCGUAUAUUUCGUAAGCACCACAAAACCAUAUAUAUAUAUAUAUAUAUAUAUAUAUAUAUAUAAAGUUGGACUGGGCUACUAUUAGUAGCAAAAUUUCAUUGUUGCUACCAGUUUUUUAGCCUUUGGAUCAACUCUUUCAUUAUUUCUAACCAUUGGAUUAAAUAUUAUAACCCAGUAGGGACCACUCAACCCUAGGGGGACUACUCAACUCUAACCGACUAAUAUCAUCCCGACCCUACAAUUUUUCAUCCAAGGGUUAAAAACUUGAUAGCAAAAAGAGCGUUUUACUAUUAAUAGUAUUCCAGCCUAAUUAUAUAUAUAUAUAUUGUCACGCCCCGGAUUACACGUUCCCCGGGCACGCCGACAAAUCCGCCGUAUACAAAGAAAUUUUCCCUGUAUACGAAGCGAUAGCUGUACCUGUAAAUCAAACACUACUACGAACAGUAGUAGAGAGCUGCUAGAGAAAACUGAAGCUAAAUAAAACAGAGUUUCAUAUACAUAGUUCAGAUCCAAAAUACAGAGCUACUCGCACUGGCGAGUUAAGUCAACUAUGUACAUAAACUCGAAACAAAACAUCUACCUGCAGUAGGGCACCUCUAGCUCAGCACGUCGGGUAGGGCUCUAACUCGCGACGCCCUUGCCUCGAUCCUGGUCCGCAGACGGUGCAGCAGCCGGAACCUGUGGCUCUGCAAAAACAUAGGUAACAACUGGGCGUGAGAACUACUGUAAAAACAAGUAGUCCUCAGUGGGUACCGCCCAAAACAACAUCGGUCACCCACUAAGUCUACAGAAGGGAGCAAGGAUAGAAGGAAAGCAGGAAGCAUACUCUACCGCUAUCAUCCACUACACUAUCAUGCUCUACACUAACCAACUGUAGGAAAUGUCAAAUCUGACCCAAUCCAAAUCGGGACUGUAAGCAUACCCGUCCCCGGGACUGUGAAUACACCCGUCCCUGCCCCGUUGCGACUAUCGGGCUCUAUCCACUCUAACUGGUCCGUGGAGAGCAAGUCCAACUGGCAUGAGCGACACCAACGCAAAAGCACAAGCCUGACUCCGGAGUGGCACUCGUGGGCGCUACCCAACCGAGUAUGCAGCGUAUCUCUGUCGAGCUCAAUCAGGCUCCAACUAGCCAAAGUCAAGUAAUCGACUCAAACUGGUCUAACAACCAACAGGUAACGUGCCCUCGGCACAAUCUGACGCCAAAAAGGCGAUACGGGUCCACCGUCAACUCUGACGGCACCCAACAGUCCGAAACGACCUGAACGACCCUGUAAAAAUCCACUCGGCGAACCAGCACGAGUGUAAAUACAUUCUAAACUACCUGGAGUACUCGUCUCGAAGAAACUGCGACAGUACAAUUUUCUAACGGCUCCUAGAGCUAAAUCAGGUAGUUAAAACUGGUGACAGGUCCAAAUCGCAGGUUUUCUCCUAAUUCAAUUUCCAAGUCCAACAUGUAUAAUUUAAAUAAUUAUAAAACAUGCUCAAAAUUCAGUUCUCACAUUCAAGCACAUAACCCAUGAAUUUGAGCUAAACUAGAUUACCAAAAUUCAGAUCUAUACAUGUCGACGAUUAUGAACUUAGGAGUCGAAACCGAUGUAACCCACCUCGCUCGCUAAUCCCUGGCAGCACGGAACACCCUCGGCUGCAACACCACCUGCUGGAUUGACCAAAAAUGCCCGAGUCUCGAAAUCGAGCGAACUCCAAACUAAAAACGCCAAAAUUCCUCAAUUCAGUCCAAAAUCCACAGCAGCUGAGUAGAAACGGGAUUCGACCGAGCUAACCUUCACCAAAAUUCACAAGUAAGGGCUUCGUGGAUUCCUCUCGCAGUCCCGAAUCCAACGAACCAAGUCUCGUCGCAAUCCGAUGCUCCUACGUCGAGAACGAGCUGAAAUACUAACAGUCGACGGUGGAUUUCAGCAAACAACAAUUUACCGAGAAGAAAUAGAAAUACUUGCUCAAAAUCCAGGGAAGUGCUGAAUUACCCACCUCGACAGCGUCGAACCUCGGUGCGACGUCAAGAACAGUGAAGACGCUCCCUCGCCCGGCCUCCUCGCAAAGCUCCGGCAACAAGCGCGCUCGGACGGCUCGCGGCGCGACGUCGGCGACGGAAUCCCCAACCGGAUUUUCAACCAACACCUAGAGAGAGAGAGGAGAAGAAGAUGGAGCAGAGCAGAGAAAUACUCUCUCUCUCUCUGCUCGGACACCUAAAAGGAGAGGGGAGGUGAGGGAGAUACAAACGAGGUGAGAUUUUACUGUUUUAGCCCUCUACCUACUCCCUUGUACCGGUACACGGGCUCCUGUACCGGUACAAGAGCCAACCCGAGAGCAGCUAAAUCUGUGCGCGUAGCUUGUACCGGUACAGAAAACCCUUGUACCGGUACAGCAAGCAUUCCCCGCGCUGGUUGUACCGGUACAGCAUAGUCUUGUACCGGUACAGCAAGCAGGAAAAUCUGCUAUUUUGCAGAUUCCUUCGCUGAAUGCUGCCCUCGCGUCGCACGGAGUCCGUUUUGCGUCUAUUUGACGCCAACGCGACUCGGACUUGUCCCGACACUCUCCAGAGCUGUCGACAAGCCCCCACAGCCAGACACCAGGGAUCUCACAUAUAUAUAUAUAUAUAUAUAUAUAGAGUCCGGCUACUAUGCUAUUAAUAGCACGAAACACUUGGUGCUACCAAGUUUUUCGCCGUUAGAUCUACCCUUUUGAUCAUUUUCAUCCGUUAGAUCAUACUAUUUAACCAACCACCCACUCAACCCUAGGGGACCCACAUCAUCCUAAUCGCACAUCUCUUAAUCCAAUGGCUAAAAACUUAGUAGCACCAAUGACUUGAUACUAUUAAUAGCAUAGUAGCCUAGUUCUAUAUAUAUAUAUAUAUAUAUAUAUAUAUAUAUAGAGAGAGAGAGAGAGAGAGAGAGUUCGGGUCCGGUGGUUUUAAAAAUAUCAAGCACUUAAUGCUCGUAAGCUGUUUACCGUUAGAUCUAUCUUUUGAUUAAUUUAGCCCGUAAAUUAUAUUAUCCGACCAACCACUCACUCAAACCUAUAAGACCGCUAUUAUCCUAAUGCUACAAAUCUUCAUCCAAAGGCCAAUCAAUUCCUCUGUCGGCAAUAAUUGAGUUUGGUUGAUUACGACUGAAGGUAGACAAAUUUUCUGGGUAUUGACUUGUGAGUCUUCUCUACGAAACUCUUCUUUCAUUUCCUCCCCUCUCCAAGAAGUAUUCAAGAAAUUACUCUUCGCCAAUUUUUUUUUUGUUAUGUACUAAAUACUUGUUAAAGAUUGUGAAACUUAUUUUUAAAGUUUAAAUUGUUACAGAAUGGUGUUCCUUUUAAUAAUUAUAUUCAACAUUCUUUCCCGCGGCUGAGCUUAUUAUUAUUAUUAUUAUUUUUUAAUAGGCUUGCAACGUGAAGUUGAAUUAAAUGAAUGAAAAUUAACUGAUGUAAGGAAGGGGCGCAGCGGCUUUGAGCAUGUCUCGCCAAAUAGGGCAGCAAUCCUUAGGACUCGGACAACCCAGGGAAGGAGCCAUGCGCCUAUAAUAUUUCUUACACUAGUUUUUUGGUUUGUUUCUUUUCUUUGGGUGAUCGUUCUAUCCUGUCUUGUUUAUGAUUCGGCAACCCCAUCUGAAAUAGGGUAUUCCCCUGUUUAAUCAAAAAAAAAAAAAUUUAAAUGAAUGAAAAUUACUAGACAAGGGCCCGGCGGGAUUCAAACUCUGAACCUUCUAUUCUGAUAUUAUAUUAAACAAUCUGAAAUGAUCAUUAUACUCUAAAAACUUAAGCUAUCGGAAAAUAGUGUUAUGUUUGGGCUCAAGGCUUUUUACGAGGUUCGAGGUGUGGAUUUGAUUUAAAUAGGGAAAAAAAAAAAUAAACGCAUGUUUGGUAGUCGAAAUAAAGGAUUACUACUUAUUCUGCGUAAGAAUUUUCUAGUGUAAUUGUAAAAAAAGAAUUUGAUUUUUUCUCCUUGAAAUAUCCUAAUAUUCGUGAUUUGGAUAGUAUAAUCUAUAUUUCACCUACGAGGUGAUUUAUUUAUUCGAGAAACAACUUGAAUGCUAAGUGUACGUAAUAUCUAAUUUAGACGUUUGAUCACACUUUUCAUCCACCAAAUAUAUAAACUUCUCAAAUAUAUAACGAAAAUAUAUCGAACAAAACAUUCAUGUAUCCAGACAUGACCAAAUAGAACAAAGGUGUAAAAGGAACUAGAAGAAAAGUGUGCGGAGAAAUUGUUCUAUAUUUUCCAAUAAGACCGCAAAAUUUAUAUAUGAUAAUUUUUUACAAAUAAAAAUCAAAUAUUUUUUCAUCACAUAUUCUUGCCGUGGUAUCACUCAAUUUCAGUGAAGUCUAAAAUAUCUACAAAGGUGCGGUGGAUAACAAAGAAAUAUUUAAACAUGCAUGUCUUUCAAAACUUUGCUACUUUAUUUGUGCAGCUUGCAUUAUAUUUCCUCCCCUCUUCUAAGAAGCAUACAAGAAAUUACUCUUUUUGGAUCUUUCUUUUGACUCCUGCUAUUAUUGCUAGCUACUCGACGGUACAAAGCAAUUCAAAUUAGAUAAAAUUUAAAUAAAAAAUUAUAUUUAUCAUCAGGAGCAAUAUUAGUUCUUCUAAUUUAAACUUUAAGUCAUUUAUUAUUAUUUUUUUCAUUUAUUUUGAGACUACUCAGUCACUAGACAAAUAAAGUCAAAAAAUUAUAAAAUUUGAUUUCUAGAUAAUUUCAAUAAGAGAUAACUUCAAAAAACCCCCCCUGUGGUUUUGCAUUUUCUCACUUUAGUACCAUGUGGUUUAAAGUGUAUCAAUUUGUCCCCCUGUAGUUUUAUUAUCAAUUUUAUUAUUAUUUUUUCUUAAAUCAGUGACAAAGUUAAAAAUUAAAGGAUACUAAAGUAAAUAUUCGAUAAAUCUAUGUGGGUAUCUGAAGUAUUUUUGUAUAUAGUUUAACGAAAUAUUAAGAAAAAAGCUGUCGAAAAGAUAAAAACAAAACCACAAGGGGGCAAAAAAAAAUUUAAAAGCAUGUAGGUCUCUGUGCUUUCAAAAGCAUAAUAGCCUUGCUCGAUAUAAUAAAACUCUUUGAGGAAAGAAACAUUACAAUAUAACAAAUAAAAAUAAUACUAAAAUACAUUGCAGUAGAGUGCAAUUAAGCCUUGUUUUUACUAAAAUACAGUGCAGUACAGUACAGUAGAGUGGUGAUCUUUGGCACUUCUUUUCUGCAAGUUCCUAAUUAAAGCAUUCCCUUUUCUUCUUUUUUUUUGGAUUCCUUGUUCUCUGUUUUUUUGUUUGGAUGUGAAGGUUUCCAAAUGGUUGAUUGAUCAACUUCUUGACUAGUUUUAUAGAGCGAGUCUUCCAAGCAUCUUUAUUUCUUUGAAAGUAAAGUGGGCAUAUUUAUGGGGCCCACUUUACUUAAUAAAGUUUUCAACUAUUAAACGUUAUCAAGAAUAUCCCACAGCAAUUUGCCCCACCAAUAUGAUAAGAUUGAGUUGAUUUAGGGGGUGUGUGGUUGGUUUCUGAAAAAGGGUAAUUGUUUUUUUUUUUUUUUGUUUUUAAUUUCCUAAAAAGCAGCUUUUCACCUUAAUUUCUUUUCUUGGGGGAUCAAAUUAAUAAAACAGGCCAUACUCUAUUUAUUGCUUUGCCAUGCAAAAGUCUCCACGAUUCCAUUCUCAAGUUUCUCCGAAACUCAUUCCUCCUCAAUCCUUUCUUCUUUGCAAGCUGAACCUCUCUUCUCUCAUUCUCCAAUUUCUGCACUCCAGGAUCGAGUUUCAUCAAUUUGCCUGAGUAGCGGUGAAGUCGAUCAUGGCUCUAACCUUCAUAGCCGAAUCUGCGGCGCCGGCGAUCAUCGAGAAUCUUGUUAGCACAUGCUCAUCCUACCUCGUGGCGUGCCCGGCGCCCUGAGGUGUACCUGUUAUGCUUAAAGUCGGCAUAUUUUGAUUUACGGGGUGGGGUAAGUGUUUGAUUAAUUCUGAAAAAAUAUUUUUGAAAAUAAUUUCCCAGCUGAAUUUAUUAUUAUUAUUUUUUUAGCUUGUUUAGUUUCAAAAUUUUAUCCGAGAGUUGAUUUAGGGGGUGUGUGGUUUCAAAUUUUUUUAAACAAAAUAAAAAUAAAAAUUGGGGAAUCAAAUUAAACACCCACUUAAUUGGUGGGGGGCUUAAUUAAUUUUGUUGUCGAAUAAUUAAAGCAGCCAUACUCUAUUUGUUAGUGGAUGUCCUCCACGUUGGAUGUCAGCAUGCAAGAACUUAAUUAUUCCUCCUAAUUAAUCUUUCUUCGUUGCAAGCUCAACCUCUCUUAAUUUCCUCUUUCUCCAACGUUUUUCACUGCAGGAGCUUGAUCAAUUGCCCGAGUAGUGGUGAAGUAGCCAGCUAGUAGUCAAAUCGGCUAAAUUACAUGGUUACCUUCUGAACUUUUGGUGGAGUUUCACUUUACCUCCUAAACUCAUAAAAUGAACAUUUAAUAUUCUAAAUUCUAAAUAUUUUAUUCUUAUUAUUCUUUUCGUCAGUUUUUUAUUAAUAGAACUUGACGGUAAACUGAUGGAAUGGAUAACAUGAAUUAAAUAUUAAAAUUUAGAAUGUUAGAUUCCAUUUUAGGAGUUUGGAGUUAAAGUGAAUUUCCGCCAAAAGUUCUGAAGGGUAACAAUGUAAUUUAUUCUAUAUAUGUAUACACUAUUAUUUUUUAUGGAUGUUACUAAACUAUUUUUUUAUGCUAAUCUCCAUAUUACUGUUAAUAAUUCUAUUAUUUUAGACAAAAUUGAACAACUUAUUCAGGAAUAUUGGUUGAAAAAUAGGGAAAAAAAAUUGUAAAAUGAAUCUUCCUAAUUGACUCAUUGAAAGCUUUUAUCAAGUUAUUUUUAAUCCUUUUCAUUAUUUUUAUUUUUUUUGUUAUUUUUUCUGUCAAAAUGAGUUGAAUAUAAUUACUCUGUCACUUUUAUCCAGUAUUUUAUAGCAUCUUUCAUACAAAUUAUAAGUGGAGAAAUGAUUCGAUACUUUAUUAUUAAAAAAUAAAAUAGAUCUUAGCCGUUGAUUAAUAGAGGGUAAAGAUGUAAUUUUAAUAUUUAGCAAGUAAAUGGAUUACAUCAUUCGAGGUUAUUUCGGUAAUUAAACUAGACAACAUUUAAAGAAACUUUUAAUUGAUAUCCUAAAUUUAUACAUUAAUUUGCACUAAUUUAGAAAAUUGAUUGAUUAUCCUAAUUUAGGCAUUAAUUAAGCAUUAAUUUACGAAUUUAGUUUAGAAAUUUACAAAUUUAGUUUAAACAUAAAAAUUAAAAAGAUUAGGAUUACUAUUCAGAAAAAAAAAAUGGUUAGAAAUUUGAAUUCGAACCCGAUUAAUAAUCACAAUAUCAAUUUCCGAACUCGACGGAUUUCAAAAAUUCAUAUCGAAACCCAAAACUAACCAGUUUUUCGAAAUCCAAAACCAAAUCCAAACCGGAAGACGGGAACCCGAAAUAAUUUUUUUUUACCAUAUUUCAAAAUAUUUUAUAUUAUAUUUAAAAUUUUAAAAUAUAAAUUUGAAUAUAAUAUUAAGCUUUAUAUAUGAUUCGGGUUGGAUUCAAGAUGGACAUAGAAAAAAUUCAUAGUUGGUUCACAAAAUAAUUUCAUGUUCUUGUUGUCGAAUAAUUUAAAAAUUUCUUAUAUGAAAUGCCAAAUAUAAGAGGAAAGAUAGAGAGAGAAAAAAGAAAUAAAGAGAGAAUAAAAAUUUUAAUAAUAUACUAGAGAUAAAAUGACUAAAUUGCUCAUAUAUUAAAAGACAAAAAUACUCUUUUUUGAGAUACCUGGUGACCGGUAUCUCUCCUAAAAUGACCUGCUAUUGCAGGUCACAAUUUUAAGAAAAUUAAAUUUAAACCGUUGAACGGGAGUGAAUGAACAGUAACGAAAAAAAAAUAUAAAAGAAUUACUCUUAUUAGUUUAUUACUAAUAGUGUAAGCAGACUGGAAAAAAAAAAAAAGAAUAGUUGAUUUGUGCCUAAAAAAGAAAUAGUAUAAUGUAAAAAGCGAAAAAGAAAAAAUGAAAAAUACAGUAUCUUACAUUAUAAUUAAGUUAAGUAAAAAAAUUUAAGCUUUGAUUUACAAAAGAGUUUUUUUUUUUUUAAAAAAAUAGCAUACUAGCUGCUUCGUUUAUUUUAAUUAAAAAUAAAUUUAACUAAAAAUAUAAAUUAAUUGAAAUGAUUCAAAUUUGGGAACUUAGAUAUUAACAACCAAAAUCAUUAGGAAAGAGUUAAUUAAAGUUCAGAGGCUCUUUGUACAGUUUCCGGUCCCUUGUGUGAUCUAUAACCCUCUAUUAUUGGCUAUGCAGACAAUAAUUUCUCCCUCGGAGAGAGUGUGAAGUGGAGUGGGGCCGGGCAGAUUCCCUCUGUCUGGCAGUAAUUGAGUUUAAUUGGUUGGCUGUGACAGAAGGCAGACAAAUUUGACCGGUAAGUCUUCUCUGUGAAACACUUCCAUUUCAUUUCCUCCCCUCUUUCCGAGAAGCAUGCAAAGAAAUUACUCCUCCCCAGUUUUUUUUUUUUUUUUUUCUUUUCUUUUUUUGGGUAUGUCCUAGCUGUAUGCUUGUUAGAAAUUAAUUUGAAACAAACUGCUUCUCUCAAGAAGCUUAUUUGCUCGCUACUGUUACUGAAUUAAAGUGGGCAUAUUUUGAUUUAGUGUUUGAUUUCUGAAAAAAUUAUUUUUGAAAAUAAUUUUCUAGCUAAAUUUAUUAUUAUUAUUUUAUUUAGCUUGUUUUGUUUCUAAAUUUUAUCCGAAAAUUGUCUUCCCUAUUCAAAAAAUAAAAAUUAUACUUUUUUUUUUCCCGUAAAACACUGGUUUUCAAUUUUUUUUUUGAAAAAAAAUUGGGGAAUCGAAACACCCACUUAAUUAAUGGGGGGCUUUUGUUGUCAAAUAAAGCAGCCAUGUGGCAAAUAAUAAAGAAGUAUGGAAACAGAAGUAUGUAAACACCAUGUGGCAAUAAUAAUUUCUCCCUCUGUCGUCAUUUGGCAAUAAUUUCUGAAUGCUUUCACACAAGGAUUUAAGUGCCGUGGCACAUGGUCGUGCCGGAAACUUGCCGUGCCGAGCCGUACCGAUGCGUGCCGGUCAAAAAAAUUCAUGUGUGCCGAUACAUAAUAGCAUGAAAUAUUUAUUUUCUUUAGCAACAAAAUAUUCUAAUUAUUUAUUAUGUCUUUUUAUCACAUCUUUUGAAUUUUAUUGAGGAAAUUACUUACUAAUUUAAAGAAUAGAGGGUUUUGAGCUGUGCCAUUGGUACAGGGUCUGUAUCGUGCCGGUAUCUUGUUGGCACGAUACGGCACGGUAGAUACGGCCCGUGCCGAUGGGCACUUAUAACUUUGCUUUCACAUGUAAUGUCUUCUAACCAAAACUUGCACCUUGCAUUACAUUUCCUCCCCUCUUCCGAGAAGAAUGCAAGAAAGUACUACUCUUCGCGCGUGGAUCUUUCUUUGAUGCCUGCGCGCGAUUGUAUCUAUCUAUCUACUCAGCUAAUAAUUGUUUCGGCAUCUCUCUUUCCUCAUCCUCUAAUUUUCUGCAUUCUAGGACCGAGUUUUCCAUCAAUUGCCUGAGUAGUGGUGAAGCCAAUCAUGGCUCUAACUUUCAUAGCCGGAGUGGUGGCAACGGCGAUCAUCGAGAAGCUCGUUGAUACAUGCUUUUCCUACAUCAAAGCUUACCCGGGGCUACGAGGCGUGCGGGACGAGCUGGAAAGGCUGCAGCUGGCCCUUCCGCAGAUCCAGACAGUCUUGACUGCCGUAGAGGAGGCGGCGUCUAUUGCAGAGCAGAACGAGGCGCUGGAUGCUUGGUUGUGGCAGCUCAGAGAUGCUGUGGAGAACGCGGAGGACGUGCUCGACGAGCUGGAGUACUACGAGCUGAAGAAGACUAUAAAAGAUCGAGAUGACAAGGUGCGUGGCAUUCUCUAUAAAUGCAAGAAAAAGUUUGACCGUUUUGUUGAUCGUAAAUUUAGCAAUGACACACUGAAGCGGUUGAGGGAGGCCGUUAAGGGGUUAGAUAUGGUUGUUGCCGGCAUGGGGCCACUAGUUCAACUUGUUACUGGGUUAUACGGUCCUAGUGUUAAGUGUCAAAAGCUCGAGGAAAUCAAGAAUGCUCGCGAGACUAGCUCCUUGGUAAUCAAAAGUGAGGUGCUCGGACGAGACAAGGAGACGGGCCUGAUAGUCGAAUGGCUGAUCAACCCGGGAGAUGCUGAUGUUGAUGUCUCCGCUUUUACAAUUGUUGGUAUGGGUGGGCUUGGGAAGACUACCCUUGCUCAACUAAUCUAUCAAGACGAAAGGGUGCGAGAGUACUUCGACCCCAUUAUGUGGGUUUGCAUUUCUCAGGAUUUCGAUGUAACUGUGAUAACAAGAAAGAUUGUAGAAUGUGUAAGUAGUGGGAGUUUUGGCGACAAGAGUCUACAUGCGCUCCAUGAGAAUCUUAAACACAAACUAACGUCGAAGAGGUUUUUACUCAUACUGGAUGAUGUUUGGAACGAUGAUAAAAUGACGGAGUGGGAGAAAUUGGUUGCUCCUUUGAAAUUCGAACAGAGAGGAAGCAAGAUCCUGUUGACAACUCGAAUGGGUUCAGUUGCGGAUAUGGCGGCAAAAGUGCUGAAAUGCAAGCGAGAGUCAUUAAAUCUAAAUGAGUUGGAGGAGAACGACUAUAUGUUGCUUUUCAAUAAGCAUGCAUUCCUCGGUGUGAACCCUGAUGACUAUAAAAACUUGCAACCGAUUGGUGAACGUAUAGCGAAGAAACUUGGAGGAUGCCCACUGGCAAUAAAGGUCAUGGGAGGAUUGCUGAACUCCUGCAUGGACUAUAAAUAUUGGAAGAAAAUCUUGGAAGAAGACAUCAUGAAAUUACAACAUGGAAAUGACAGCAUUAUGACAAUUUUGAGAUUAAGCUACGAUCACUUACCCACAAACUUACAACUCUGCUUUAGAUAUUGUAGUUUAUUUCCACAGGAUCAUAUGUUUAAGAGGAAAAAGUUGGUCAAUAUGUGGAUUGGUUCAGAUCUGAUUCCGCAAUCUAUUUGUGGCAGGCAAAGGCCAGAGGAUAUCGGAAAUGAGUAUUUAAAUCUUCUGGCAAAAAAAUCAUUCUUUACUUGCAAAACCAGUGCUAAUGGGUUGAAAAUUACUAAAGAGUAUUUUAUGCACGAUCUGCUGCAUGACCUAGCACAAUCAGUUUCUCUAGGAGAAUGCAUCAGAGUAGGAGGUGACGUUGCAAGAAUUACUAUUCCACGGACAGUUCGACAUUUAUCUGUUGAAAUGGUCAAUUUUCUUUCCAUCAGAGAGAUCUCCAAUCUUAAGAACGUGCGCACUCUUGUCAUUUCUGUGAGAGAGGACAAUACCCAUAAUGCAGAUCAUGCACUUGAAUUUAUUGAGGUUAUAAAAGGGUUUAAAAAGUUACGCUUAUUGAUCUUAGAUGUGAUGUUUGACCCUUAUAAACUGCCCGAUGCACUUAGUAGCUUGAUACACCUCCGCUACCUAUCUCUUUCACUAUGGAAAGUUAUGAAUGAAAGUAUUGAAUAUGAUGGCUUGACCAACUUGGUCAAUUUGCGUUCAUUAGAUGUUUUCGAUGAUGUGAUACAAAAAAUUCCUUAUAUUAGCAAAUUACCCUUCAUCCACGAAUUACAAAAUUUUGUUGUCCGAGAGGAGAGUGGUUACAAAAUUGGUGAACUAGAGAACCUCAGGGACCUUCGUCACCUGUGUAUUAGGGAACUUGAAAAUGUGAGGACUUCUCAAGAAGCCAUUGAGGCCAAGUUGAAUCAGAAAAAAUAUCUCAAAUCAUUGUCAUUGCAAUGGUCCGCAGGCCGCUUCAAUAGUGCAGAGGCAGAUGAACAGCUCCUCGAUAACCUCUGCCCUCAUAUCAAUCUCAAGAAAAUGUGCAUCGAACAAUACCAAGGUGCUAAAUCUCCAAGUUGGAUGACAAAUCUGUCUCUUGUCAAUUUGACAUCCAUCAAACUGAUUGAUUGUAAAGGAUGGAAGCACCUUCCACCUCUUGGGCAGUUUACUUCGCUGCAAUCUCUACACUUGAGGGGACUGCAUGCAAUAAAGCAAAUAGAUUGUUCAUUCAUCAGAAGCAGCAGUGCAUGUGACUUUCAAUCGUUGAAGUUCUUACAGUUACGAGACAUGCCUAACUUGGACGAGUGGAUUGGAGUAGAUGAUGGGUGCAUGUUUCCUCAACUUCUUUCUAUGAAUAUUAUUGACUGCCCUAAUUUGAGGGAAAUUCCUACUCUGCCGUAUAGUCUAAGUCGAUUGCAAAUUUCAAAUGUCGGAUUGACUGCUCUUCCAACAAUAAAUCAGAAUUACACGGAAAACAAUGUAAGUGCUUUAUUUUAUAAACUUCAAAUUUCUCCUGAGGUUUAGCUCAUUUUCAUUUACCCCCCCUGUAGUUCAAAAUGUAUCACUUUGCCCCUUCCCCCCCUGUGUUUUUGCCUAUUUUUUACUUUUGUCUAUCUCAUGGUUUGAAAAGUUACACUUUGCCUCCUUUGGUUUAGCUCAUUUUUUGCUUUGCUCUCCUGUGAUUUUUUUAAAAAAUAUUUUUAAUUUGCCUUCUAUUUCAUAUAGAAUUUUUUUGAUGAAAUAAAAAUUAAGCCACUGGACGGCAAAGUAAAACUUUUUGAACCGCAAGGUGGCAAGGUGAAAAUGAGUUUAAUUAACCACACGGGGUGCAAUUUGAAGUUGAGCAAUGCUUCAAUACUUUGUUGUAAUCUUAGCCGUUUAUUUUUAAUCAAUGAAGGGUUAAGAUUUAUGCAUAAAAAAAGAUGACCUACUAUUGCACAAGAAGUACCGGUCACCAGGUAUGUGAUUUAGGGGUGUUUUUGGAAAAAAAAAAAAGAGCUAAUAUUAAAAAAUUAAAUAACUAAUAUUGGAAAGUUUUGCAUACUACCCUUAAAUCAUGGAGAGAAUAAAUUUUUAAUUAAAUUAUCCAUUUUUAAAGCCGAUUUUAAUAAUAAUUUAUGAUCGCAUUUGAGUCAUAAAUUUAGUAAUUUAUAAUUUAAAAUUAAUUUUCAAACAUCGAAACUUUAUGUUUAAAUAGUUAACAAAAUUUAUUUUUUAAGUAUAAUAUAAAUUAAAUCUAAAUUUAUAAUUUAAAUUUGAUCAAUAUUUUUGAAAUUUAAUGCUGUAUUUCAAUAUUGAAUUAACAGUUUCAACUUACUUUAAAAUGUAGAAAUCUUUUAUUUACAUAAAUAAUAAAAGUUUAUAAAUACACUAUAACUUAAAUUACAAUUUUAAAGAUAGUAACAUUAAUUUUUGAACUUUCAUGUUAGUUUAAUAUUGAAUUGAUAAUUUGAAUUGAAAUGUUUACUCGUUUAAAUAUAAAUUUUUCUUUCUAAAAUUUAAAUUUAAUUUAUACAAUUAUAAAUACAAAGUUUAAACUCAAGUUAAAUUUUAAAUUCGAAUUUAUAAAGAUUUAUCACUUAUGAAAUUAACCAUUAUCUAAGUUGGUAAGUAACAAAAUUAAAUUAGGAAAUGAAGAUUUGUUGGAUAUUAUCAAAUUUGGUAAUUAGAUAAUGCAUACUUUCAAAUAUUAUCUUUAUGAUUGAUUGGUAACAUGUUGAGCAGGUUACCAUUGUGUAAAAGUCAAUCUUAACCGCAAAAAUUGAAUGAUCGGAUUUAAAUUGGCCGGUGUAUAGAAGUAUUUCUGUAUAUUAAAACACCAAUUAAUUCGUAUUUGCACGGCUAUGAUUGCCCGGACUUAAAUAUGUUUUACAUCUCUUUUCUUUCUUGCAGCGGCAAGAACAGGAUCUUGAAUAUGUUCCAACAUGUGGCGAUCUUGACGUGCCAUUGCUGUGGUCAGCAGAUUUAACCUCUCUUACUGAGUUGAAAUUAUUCGAUUGUGCAAGGAUAGCAUCCCUUCCCCCAGCACAAGUGUGUGCACGAUGGACGAUGCUUUCCCGUCUAAUGAUAAAGAACUGCGAAGGACUGUCAUCAUUUGGCGGAAUACAAGCUCUUGUAUCCCUCAGUUAUUUAGAAAUCAAAGGGUGUGACAAGCUAAUUGAAGUUGCCCUGCUGCUGCAGCCUCCGUUCCCAAACGAUGUCCGCCAAAACAAGAAUGCAGCAAUGGACUGCUUUUUGAAGAAUGGCGAACUAUCAAUUGACCACCCCGCCCUCCUGCUCGUGGAGCCAUUGAGAAGUCUCUCCUCCAUCAACGUGUUGACUAUCUCUGAUGCUUCACAACUCACCAGCUUACCUGAGGAAUGGCUACUGCAAAAUCACGUUGCCCUCAAAACUUUACGCAUAUCGAAUGCAAUCUCCCUCCAGUCCCUACCCCAGAGCAUGACAAAACUGUGCUCCCUAGAGCAUUUGUAUGUAUAUAUUGCUAAGCUCAUCCGGUCACUUCCAGAUCUGCCUACUUCACUGUGUACUCUACUCAUCUAUGGGUGUCACCCCGUGUUGAAGGAGCGAUGCCAAGAGAAUAUAGGCCUUGAUUGGCCCAAGAUUGCCAACAUCCCUGAUGUGUGGAUUGAACAGGCAGUUGCAGAGCAACGAUGAUGCAUAUUGUACGUUUACUUUACCACCCUUCAUCUCGCCCCUGCUAUAUACUCUCUGCGAUUUACGCAAUUCGUUUCGAUUUUAAUGAGCUACAACAUCUCGUUCCAUCUUAAUCAACAACUGUUAUCUCAUUUGUUUCAGGAUUGAUUAAUUACCUUCUUUUCCCGAAUAAUGCAACAGCAGUCAGGUUCGACUUUAAUUAGCAUCCUCCAUUAGGAAUUUUUUAUAUUUUUAAUUUUUACCCUUAUACUUUAUGGUUUGGAUACAUAAUAAUGGAAUUAAUAUAGCGCCAAUUAAUUGCGCCCUGUGAUUAAUACAUGAUGUUACGCUCGCUGGACGGAUUGGUCUUGUAAAACAAGCAAUGUAAUGAAUAAUAUAACACUAGUGAAGAGGCUCGCGCUUUGCAGCGGAUAAAAACCGUAGUAGUAAUUAAUAAUAAUAAAAUAUUAAAUAUUUUUUUGUGUAUCUCACUUGGUACAUCUACCGAAAGUCUCUCACUGUAGGCGAUAAAUAUCAACCUGACAAUGAAGAAAGAGAGUAAAAUAACUCAUUCUAAAUAAAAUUAAAUAGGGGAGAUGAAGAGACGUAUGUUGAGAGAGAGAGAAUAAAAUGGAAGAGAUGAGAAGACGUAUGUUGAGAGAGAGAGAGUAAAAUGGUUCAUUCUAAAUAAAAAUUGAAUAGGAUAUAUGAAGAAACGUAUUUUGAGAGAGAGAGAGUAAAAUGUCUUAUUCUAAAUAAAAGUUAAAUAGGAGAGAUGAAGAUAGUAUGUUGAAAGAGAGAAUAAAAUGGUUCAUUCAAAAUAAAAAAAAUUUCAAAAUUAAGAGAUUAUGACACAUCAGCUUAAAACAUUGGGGAUUCAUAAAGAGUAAUAGAUAUGUUAAUUGCUAGUAUAUCGAUUGCUUUCUAGAGUUAAAAACUAUGACUAAUUGUCCAGUGAUGAGUUAGAACAUAUAAAAGAGACGCACGCGCGCGCGACAAAAGCUUUCCGAGUUAUUUUAAUUUCUUGGUGCAGGACUGCAGUAACGUGAUAACACUAGUCCUAUAUGUAUUUCACUCAAUUUGUUCAAGAAUAUAAAACGAGACUAGUAAAGUUUAACUGCUUAUGUUCUAUUUCGGUAGUGCGGGAACAUGUAUUGAUUAGGACUCCAUAUAUAUUGCCGCUGAAUCUAGUUUUGCUUAUCUGGGAUAAAACAUGAUUACAAUCAUUCUACGUAUUCUCUCUUCUUUUUAGUUUUCUGGUGCAUGGGUGAAAAAGGCUUGCAUUGUAGUCUAUCGACUUCAUUGUAGGAGCACAACAUGGCUAAAGCCUUGCCGCUUUUGUUCUUCUAUUUAAUUAGUACUGGACUCAUAUAUGACUCCCAAUUCAUGGUCAUGUUCUAUCAAUUUAUUCAUAAGAUUAUGAGAAAAUUAAAGACUAAUUUGUUACUUUAUGCUUGUGUUCUUCAGUUUUAUUGGUGCAGGAUCAGAGUAAGAUUCCUUGCUUCUUUCGUGUGCGUGCGUGUAUAGUAGCCAAACUAAUGUAAAAUCUUUAAGAAAUAAAUUGCCCUCUUUUGCAGCAGGGAGGUUAAAUGCUUCAAUUUUGUUUCUCCUUACUUUAUAUUCGUAUAUACCAAAGGUAAUUUUGUGUUUGAAUAUUCCUGUACAAAUAGGAAAAAUCUUAUAGCCUGGUCAUAGGCUUGUUUUGUCUUGUGUAUUAUCCGGUGAAGCUGUUAAACAUUGCUUUAAAAUGUGUUUCAAAUUAUUACUGGUAUUUUAGCAGUACAGCAAGCACCCAGAUUAAACUCGUGAACUCAAUCGCAGCAGUAUAAAUCACGCUUUUAAAUUUUGUUUAACUUUUUCUUAGUGUUUAGUGCAGGCUCUCAUGGUAGAUUCUCUCUGGAGAGAAUUCCGUCGACUCGCCAUAAGAGUAAAAUGAGGGCUAUGCUGCAGCAGGCAUCAACAUGCAACCACAUCCUGCAAUAUCUUAAAUUUACUUUCUUUACAUUUUUUAAACGAGCUUUAGAUUCAUUUUGCAUCGAUUGCACAAAACAACUGAAGCAUUACUGCGUAUGUUCUAUGUUCGGUGGUGCGAGAACGAAUUAAAGACUCUUAUCGAUUUCUCUGUAUAUAGGAAUGUAACAAGACCAAAGUAGACUACUGCCUAUGUAUUUGUAUUUUCUUUUUGUUCUCGGUGGUGUAUGAAUUAAAAACGCUCCUCUUAUUAUAGCCUAUCGAUUUCGUCCUUGCUACAAAGGAUGGUUAAAGUUGUACUGCUUUGUUUGCAUUCUCCAAUUUUUCUUGGUGAAGGAUCGGAAUGAGACUACUACAGGUAGUCUAUUUAUAUAUGCAUAAUGUGAUUAGUGUCUUUAAUGUAGCUUAAUUUUACUUGUUAUUUCGUUUUACUGGUAUCACGAAUAUUUGGGUGUAAAUACGGAUAAUUACAUUAUAUAUUUUGGAGAAUAAGAUUUGGAGAUGUAUUCUUAAUGAGAGCAAUGCUUCAAUACACCAUAAGUAUAAAAAUUAAGCUCUUAAUUAGUAAAGGGUAUAGUUGGAAUUUACAUAAAGUAACCUAUUGAAUAGGUUACCGAUUUGAAUUAAGUUAAUAUGACAAUAUUGAAAAAAAAUUAGAAGUAUAUACUAAAUUUGUCAGUAUUUUUUAUUUAGUUUUGUUACUUACCAAAUUAGAUAAUGCCCAAUUUGUUAAGUAUCCAACUCAAAAAAAUAUUGAAUAUAAAUUUAAGUUUUGAAGUUGGUAUUGUAAUGUAAAAUUUUAAUUUCAAAAUUUAUAUUAAACUUUUAAAUUUUGAACCUAAUUGAACUUUUAAUCUUAAAGCCAAACUUUAAUUUUUGAUUUAAAUUAAAAUUUUGAAUUUGAACUGAAAGUUUUAUUUUAAAUUUGUGUUUUAUAUUUAAAAAUUGAAUUUGAUUUAUAAUUAAGUUUGUUAUGUUGCUUUGUAUUUAAAUUUAUAAUUUAGUUGUAAUUUGAAUUCCAACUAUUGUUGUAGGUAUUUGAGAAGGUUAUAGUAUUUUUUAGUUGGAUAAAACCGAUUUUAUAGACCAAAAUAUUCUUCUAUGACCAAAAUACCCUUUAAAUAGGUACCGGGUGAAAGGUACUUAUGCCUAAAUGGUAAGUCGCCUCUAGAAUUAUAUUACAUCUCGACCAUCUAUGUAAAAAAAUAAAUGGUCAAGAUUUAUAUAAAAUUUAGAUGGUGUAUUGAAGUAUUACUCAUUUUUAAUUAGCGAAGCGUGCGAAGGCCAGAGUAAUAAUCUGUGUGAUGGCAAGAUAGCAAAUCCCAUAGCUUGAUGAGCUUUUUUUUUUUAUUUUUUGUUUUUCUUUUCACUGUACUCUGAUGAAGUUGUUGAGCUUGUUUGAAGUAGACAAAGUAUCCCAGGGCUGAAGUUGUGAAUUUAAUUUCAGUGGCAUAAAUUAUACUUCAAAUUUUGUUAAACUUCUUAAGUUUUUAUUGAGGGCUGUACAUCGAUUUUGAGAGUAAAUUUGGUCGGUCCGGCCGACUCAUUGUAAAAGGGAAAAAAGGGCUGCUGUACUUCAGCAGGCAUCAACUUGCGAUCACAUCCUGCAGCUAUAUAUCUACUUUUAUUCUUUAUAGUUUUCAAAAAGAAAUUAAAUUUCUUUAUGCAUUGAAGACGAAAAAACAAAGCUCAUAGGCGGGGAUGUAAGAAGGUAAAUUUGUCAUCUACUUAAAAGACACUAAAUAAUUCGCCACUUUAUUAAGGUGACUAAUAAAUCUUAAACUCUACCUACUAGAACCGGCGUUACUCCGGCGAGGUAUGAGGGUUAGAUUCCUAAAUAAUGUUUGUAGGGGUUAGUUCCCAAAUUUUUUUGCUUAAUUAAGAUGUGUAACGCAUGAUGAUUAUUAUUAUUAUUUUUUAUUUUUUUAUUUUUUCAUGAGCAAUGCUAGCUCUACAAUCCUUUAUGGCUUGUAGUUGUAACCUUACAAUUUCCACCGUUUUAUGUCUACUUUUUUCAAGCUUGUCUUUUCCCUUUUUUUUUUUAAAGAAAAGAACCGAAAAAGGUGAAGUAAAACCCUUGCUUUUUGGAUUGGAAAUGGUAAAGAUUCAAACCUUAAAAAUGUUGCAGACUUAGCAUUUCUUUUUUUUUUUAUUUGAUUUAUACCCUCCAACUUACAAAUCGUUUAAUUUAGGUCCUUGCAUUAGGCAAUUUUAAACGGUUAGAAUCAAAAGCCCACGAGGAAUGCACGUGAUCAAAAAUUGCUCUAGUCAAAAAGAAGAAAGCAGGGUUGCUCUAUUUUUGCUUAAUUUUCAAAUUUGUUACGAAUCGUAUGACUGCUACAACCUUACUACCCCUUCAUUUUUAUCAAGAAUUUUUUUUUUUUUUUUUUUUUUUUAGAGAUAGGUAGCACGCUACCCGCUUUGUUUAUUUCAUUUAGAAAUAAACUCAACUGGAAAUGCGAAUCAACUAGGAUUCGAACUUGGGUCUCGGGUAUCAACCAUCAAACCCUUUGCCACUUGCCCUAGGAAUGUUACCCACUUUAUUUUUAUCAAGAAUUGCUUUGGUUCUAUUUGCAUGUACAUCCCUCUUGCCUCUUAGUGUUUCACUCUAACAAAAUUCCCAACAUUACCAAUGGAAGAACGUAAAUCAAACAGUUUGUAAGUUGACGGAUUUAACUCAAAUUAAAAAAAUAUUAGGGAUUUAUUUCAAAAUAGGUUGACAUUCAGGGCGUGUCUAUCCAUUAUUCCAUUAUAACAUUUUUAUUUUUAUUAAUCAAGAUUACAUAAAAGUUAUCCACCGUCUCUGAAGCAAGUGGCAAAGCGCUUACUGGUUGGUACCCGAGAUCCCAAGUUUGAAUCAUAGUUGAUUCACAUUUCUAGUUGAGUUUAUUUUUAAAUGAAAUAGACGAAGCUAGUGGCGUGCUACCUAUUUCUCAAAAAAAAGAAAAAAAAGAUUUCUCAAAAGUUAUUAAAAAAAAAGCACUAAUCUAUACUUAUGUAUAAAUUCUCAUGUUUAAAUUCUAUGUGGAUGUAACUCUUUAAUUUGAGGGAGGUGGGGUUUUAAGCCAUUUCUUCUCUCAUCUAAAAAACUAUAGCUAAUCUAUUUUUUCAAAUGGCUUUUCGCUUUUCGGCGCAUUUACUCGUAUUUACUUUUUCUUUUUUUAGUAGCCCUUGAGCUACCAUUCAUGAAAGGUUAGAGCGAAAAGAUGUUGAAGUAAUUUAUUUCGUAUAUAAAAAUCAUUACCCACCUCCUCUCCACCUUCACCCAUUCCCAUUAAUUUACAUUAUUUUUUUAAUUAAUUAAUUUUAAUGGGUGGCACAAGUUAGAUUCCAUUUUUCUUCCUUACCAAAUUUUUCUUUAUUUGUUUAAUGGUUAAAAUUGAGGAAUAUGCUUUUUUUUUUUCUUUUAUGUACAAUUUUUUUUGUUAGUUUUAUAUUAUAUAUAUAAAAGAUGUGUAAUACUUUUACUUAAAUUUGUAAUAUAUAGUUCUGUGAAGGAGGUGCCUCCCUCUCCUCUAAUGCUCCCAAGGACAAAAAGUAUCGGUUAAGAUAUGGAGUUGCUAGGAAAGAGUUGAAGGCGCUGUGUUACCUCACGAAAUAGUUGGCCUCGGUAGAGGAUGCUCUAGACAAGGGUGCAAAGGGGUCCGAUUUCUAUGCAACUGUUAUAUUUAGUUUAGAUUUAUAGUUAUCUAAAUUGGAGUUAAACCCUAAUCUAAUUGGGAUUGAAUAUAAUUUGGCAUAUAUGGAUUAUGAGUCUGAAUCUAAUUUCAAAUUGAAUUAGAUUAGACUUGUGUUUAGAAAUCCAAUUAGAUUAGAGUUCCAAUUAAGUUUUGGUCUUUUGAGAGAUUCAAUCUUGUACUCCGUCUUUCAACAUUAAUAAAGUAUUUGCUCUGUUUUCAUCCGUGGAUGUAGGCCAUUUGCCGAACCACGUAAAUAUUGGUAUGCUCUUUUCUCUUAUCUUUUCGUUUCCUGCAUUAAAUUAUUUUCUGCAUCUAUUUUUCGCUUUUUCGAUUUUAACAGUAACAAUUUUUUUUAUCUUAUAGUUCUAUUUGUCUUUCGUUGUUUUUAUUGAAUUAUAAUUCCAUUAUGAAAGCUUUAAUAUGUUUUUUACUUAUUAAUUCCAAUCAAAUAUGAUUAUAACCUUUUUUUUAUAUUCUAUAUUUGCUUAUUUAAUCUAUAAAUUUUUAAUAAAAAAAUUUUAUCUGCCAUUUCGCGCGGUUCCUACACUAGUUAAACAACCACACAAGCGAAAAGGGAAAAGGGUAUAGUUGGUGACUUUUAAUUUUUUUUUUAGGCCACUUUUUUUAUUAUGACUUUCAUUGAUUUGGAUGAGUUGGAAGGCGUGUAUGUAACGUAAACUGAUCAAAUUUGGGGCAAGUUUUUUUAAAAAAAUCUAAAUCCAAUCCUAAUUACCAAACUCAAAUUUAAAAUUGGAAUUUGAAUCUGACGAAUUUUUAAAAUUUAUAUCCAAGCCCAAAUCUUUCCAAAAAUUCAAAAUCCGAAACGGAAAAGUCCAACUCGAAACAAUUAUUUCUUUUUGCCAUAUUUUCAAACAUAUUAUAUUGAAUCUAAAGUAAAAUAUAAAUUCAAAUAUAAACACCAAAUAUUUAUAUUUAUUAUAUUAUGUAAAAUCAAUUCUAGUUCGUGUCAUAUUUUGGAUUCAAAACGAGUACAGACAAAAUCCAUACCUGAAUCCAAAUCAGACGAGUUUUCGGCUUUUAUAUCUGUAUCCGAAAUGAUAUCCAUUUAGUAUUAAAUAAAUCCGCUCCAUUUGAAUUUGUUUUCGAUAAAAUUUUGAAUAUUUGUUUUAGAUUUGUCUUGAAGUGUGGGAAAUUUUGGUUAGAAUUUGUUUAGGAGUGUGGAAAAAUUUCCAGCACUUUGAUGACUUGAAAGCCUUCUCUAUGAAACUUCCAUUUCAUUUCCUCCCCUUAUCAAGAAGCACACAUGAAAUUGGCCAAAAGAUAUCUAAUAUGUUUUUGGUCGACCAAAAUGGCUUCAUUGAUUUUAUAAAAUUUCUUCAAUAUAUCCAUAACUAUAGCAUUUACUAAUGAGAUUUGAGGUUUAGAAGAACAUUUUGAGAAUAAAGGAAUGUAUAAAUUUAAAAAAAUUGAAUAGUAGUAGGAGAUAUAUAAGCAAAAGCCCCUAAAAUUUAUAUAGCAAAUAAAUCAAUCAUUCUGAGUCAGGAUGAAUGAAAAGAAAAAAAAUAGUGAAUAAUUUAUUACAUUCGGAGAACGGUAAAUGAUUUAUUAUUUCUUUAAAGACUAGAAGUUUUAUGUAUUAAAAAUUGAGCAACAUUAAUUACUUACUUUCAGUAUAGACUAUUUAAGAUGAUGUAUAGGGUUUAUGGUUUAAGAUUUAGGCUAAAGGCCGUGAACAAUUCAUCAUCUCGUACGGAAAUUUAAAGUUUGUUUUCAUGCAAGAAAACAUUUAGAAUUGUCUAUAACACACCGGCAAAGUACCAGUUAAUUUGUUCCAACUGUGAGAAAGUGCAACCAAAGCUCUAGAUUAAAGUGUUACGCGCCUCAUAGUUCGAGCCAAAAAUUGCGACGAACUGAAGUUCAAGGACUUGUCACGCAUCUCACACAUCGAGCCAAAAAUUGUGCUGAAUUAAAAUUUGAGAACUAAAGUGUACAGUUUGAGCACGAAAGUGUAAUUUACACUUAAGGCAGCGUUUGGUUAGGCGAUAAGGAUAGGAAUAGGCCCUUAUCCCCCCUUUAUAUCCAAACGCUAAUUUUUUAUCCGAGAAUAGUAGUUCUCGGUUAUCCCCACCAACACCUUCAUUUUCUAUAUAAAACUAUCUAAAAUUAUUCUUAUCUCCAGGAACAACCCAAUUUUCAUCCAAACACUAUUUUUCUUAUCCCCAUACUUGUACCUAUUCCUGUAAUAGCUAGUUCUUGCUUAUACCUGAACCACCUUACGUUUUAUCCACUAGUAGGGGGCCAAUAAUUGCAGCCUCAGUUUAGCGGUGGCGUGGGGUCAAGAAACACGACCUUGGAGGCUUGGAUGAUUUAAUUAUUCGAUUUCAGGACUGGGGCGUGGACUCUCUAAAGAAGUCGGCAGAACCUCCGGUCAUGCGAAAUCACAUGCAAGUUUUCCCCAACCUAUACGCUCCUUUUUCUUGUCUGCAUGCAGUUAAUUUGCAUAAAGAGAGAUACCAUACCUGCUGUGUAUAUAUAUUACCUAAUAAGUGAGUGAUUAUUUUAAGCAUUUCUCUUUCCUCGUUCUCUAUCUUUUGCACUCCAAGUGUUUGAUGAAUUGCCUGAGAAGUGGUGAAGUAGCUGUGGUUUAAGCUUAUUAUAUGGAGGAUUAUGGCUUUACCUUUCAUAGCCGAAUCGGCGGCGUCGGCAAUCAUUGAGAAUCUCGUUAGCACUUGCUCAUCCUACCUCGAGGCGUGCCCGGCGGCCGGCGGCAUGCAGGACGAGCUUGAACGGCUGCAGCACGCCCUUCCGCAGGUCCAAGCAGUCUUGACUGCGGUCGAGGAGGGUGCGAUGGUCAUGGCGCAGAACAAGGCGCUGGAUACGUGGCUCUGGCAGCUCAGAGAUGCCGUGGAGUGCGCGGAGGACGUGCUCGACGAGCUGGAGUACUACGAGCUAGAGAAAACAGUACAAGAUCGAGAUAACGAGGUGCCUGGCAUUCUCUCUAAAUGUAGGAGAAAGUUUGACAGUUUCGUUAAUCGUAUCUUUAGCGAUGACACACUGAAGAGGUUGAGGGAGGCCGUCAAGGGGUUGGAUCGGGUCGUUGCCGGUAUGGGGCCACUCCUUCAACUUGUUACUGGGUUAUAUGGCCCUGGCGUUAAGCGUCGAAAGAUCGAGGAAGUCCGGAAUGCUCGCGAGACUAGCUCCUUGUUAACCGAAAGUGAGGUGCUCGGACGAGACGAGGAGAGGGACUUGAUAGUCGAAUGGUUGAUCAAACCGAGAGAUACCGAUGUCUCUGCUUUUACCAUUGUUGGUAUGGGUGGGUUCGGGAAGACUACCCUUGCUCAACUAGUUUAUAGCGACGAAAGAGUGCGAGAGUACUUCGACCCGAUUAUGUGGGUUUGCGUUUCUCAAGACUUUGAUGCAGCUGUGAUAACAAGAAAGAUGUUAGAAGGUGCAAGUAGUGAGAGUUUUGGCGACAAGAGUCUAAAUGCGCUCCAUUAUAUCCUUAAACAGAAAAUUUUGUCGAAGCGCUUUUUGCUCAUGCUAGAUGAUGUUUGGAAUGAUGAUAAUACGAUAGAGUGGGAGAAAUUAGUUGCUCCUUUGAAAUUUGGACAAAGAGGAAGCAAGAUCCUUUUGACAACUCGAAUGGGUUCAGUUGCAGAUAUGGUGGCAAAAGUGAUGCAAUGUAAAAAGGAAUCUUUAAAUCUAAAUGGGUUGAAGGAGAGCGAUUGUAUGUCGCUUUUCAAUAAGCACGCUUUUCUUGGUGUGAACCCUGAUGAUUAUAAAAACUUGCGACCGAUUGGCGAGCAGAUAGUGAAGAAGCUUGGCGGAUGCCCAUUGGCAAUAAAAGUUACGGGAGGGCUCCUGAACUCCUGCAUGGAUUAUGACUAUUGGAAAAGAAUCUUGAAAAAAGACAUUGUAGAAUUACAACAUAGAAAAGACGACAUCAUGACAAUUUUGAGAUUAAGCUAUGAUCACUUACCCACAAAUUUACAACUCUGCUUUAGAUAUUGUAGUAUAUUUCCGCAGGAUUUUAUGUUUAAGAGGAAAGAGUUGGUCUAUAUGUGGACGGGUUCAGGUCUGAUUCCGCAGUCUAUUUGUGGGACACGGAGGCCAGAAGAUAUAGGAAAGGAAUAUUUAGAUCUUCUGACAAGAAAAUCAUUCUUUACAUGCAAAGCCAGUGAGCGUGGAUUUGAAAUUCCUAAAUUUUAUGUUAUGCAUGAUCUGUUGCACGAACUAGCACAAUCUGUUUCUCUAGGGGAAUGCAUCAGAAUAGAAGGUGAUGUUGUAGGAAAAACUAUUCCACGAACAGUUCGACAUUUAUCUGUUGACAAGGUCAAUAUUCUUUCCAUAAGAGAGAUAUCCAAUCUUAAGAAAUUGCGCACUCUUGUCAUAUCUAUUAAGAAGAAUCAUGAUCAUAGUGCAGAUCAUGCACUUGUAUUUAACGAGGUUAUAAAAGGGUUUAAAAGCUUACGCUUAUUCAGCUUAUAUGUGAAUUUUGACUUUCAUAGACUGCUCGAUGCACUUUACUGGUUGAUACACCUCCGCUACUUAUCUCUUACCCUAUCGCUUCCGCUAGAGGCAGUUAUGAAUAAAAGUUUCAUGAAUUUGUUUCCUCAAUCUCUUUUUAGGCUUUAUCACCUAGUAGUCAUGAAGUUCUCGACCCCUGUUUUAAUGACUUCUAGGAAUAUUGAAUAUGACGGCUUGACUAACUUGGUCAAUUUGCGUUUGUUAGAUCUUCCUCGUGGUAUGAUAAAAAAUAUUCGUUAUGUUAGCAAACUAUCCUUCAUCCGCAAAUUGGAAUAUUUUUUUGUCCAAGAGGAGAGUGGUUACAAAAUCAGUGAACUAAAGAACCUAAGAGACCUUCGUCGUUUGAAUAUUAGAGAACUUGAAAAUGUGAGCACUUCUGAAGAAGCUACGGAGGCCAAGUUGAACGAGAAAGAAUAUCUCAAAUCAUUGUUAUUGGGAUGGUCCAGUGACCGCUGCCAUAGUGCAGAGGCCGAUGAGCAGCUGCUUGAUAACCUCUGUCCACAUAUCAAUGUCAGGAAAUUGUGUAUUGAAGAAUACAAAGGCAUUAAAUCUCCAUGUUGGAUGACAGAUUUGUAUCUCAUCAAUUUGACAUGCAUCCAACUGGUCAACUGUAAAGAAUGGGAGCACCUCCCACCUCUUGGGGGUUUGCCUUCGCUCAAUAUUAUUCGGUUGAAGGGAUUGGUCGCUGUAAAGCAAAUAGGUUGUUCAUUCUAUGGGUGCGGUGGUGUAUGUGCCUUUCCAUCGUUGAAGCAACUAUUCUUACUUGACAUGCCUAACUUGGAGGAGUGGAUUGGAAUAGCUGAUGGAUGCAUGUUUCCUCAGCUUCAUACUAUGGUAAUCCGUGACUGCCCUAAUUUGAGGGGAAUGCCUACUUUGCCUCGUAGCCUUAGACUGUUGCUUAUUUCUCAUGUUGGAUUGACUGCUCUUCCAGCAAUAAAUCAGGAUUGCAAAAAUGACAGUUUAAGUUCUCUUUUUUAUAUUGAACCACCAAUUCAUAUUUCCAUUUGCUAUGGUUGCCCAUAGUUAACAUUUUUACAUUUUUUAUUCUGCAGCAGCAAGAACAUGUUAUGGCUCUUGAAAGCUUAAUCAUCGAACAAUGUGAGAAGCUCAAUUAUUUUCCAACAGAAUUUUUUGGGAAUUUGAGCCUUGUAAAAUUCUUGAGUAUAGAAAAGUGCCCGAAGUUGACAAAAUGUGGGAUCACAGACAUCCAACCGCCUUCUGCACUCGAUAGACUCAUUAUUGGGUCAUGCGGCAACCUUGAGGUGGCAUUGCUCUGGUCAGCGAAUUUAACCUUUCUUACUUGUUUGGAUUUACUCGAUUGUGCAAGUAUAGCAUCCCUUCCCCCAGCACAAGUGUGUGUGCGAUGGACCAUGCUCUCCCAUUUAGCAAUAAAAAACUGCAAAGAACUAUCAUCAUUUGGUGGAAUACAAGCUCUCAUAUCCCUUCGUUCUUUAGAAAUUGAAGGGUGUGAUAAGCUAAUUGAAGUUUCCCUGCUGCAGCCUCCAUUUCCAAACAAUGUCAGCCAAAAGAAUCCAGUGGACUGCUUUCUGAAGCUUGGUAGACUAUCAAUUGACCAUCAUGCGCUCUUGCUCAUGGAGCCAAUAAGAAGUCUCACCUUCAUUAGCAGUUUGACCCUCUCUGGUGCUUCGCAACUCACCUCCUUACCUGAGGAAUGGAUACUGCAAAAUCACACUGCCCUCAAAUUUUUAAGCAUAAGGAAUGCAGUCUCCCUUCAGUCCCUAACCCAGAGCAUGACAAAACUGUGUUCUCUCGAGAAUUUGGGUGUAUAUAAUGCUAGUCUCAUCCGGUCACUUCCAGAUCUGCCUACUUCGCUGUGUACUCUAUGCAUCACCGGGUGUCACCCUGUGUUGAAGGAGCGAUGCCAAGAGAAUAUAGGCCUUGAUUGGCCCAAGAUUGCCAACAUCCGUUAUGUGAGGAUUGAAUAGCACUUGCAGAGGUGAUGAAGCAUAUUGUAUGUACACUUUACCGCCCUUCAUCUCGCCCAUGCUACCCUCUGUAAUUAAUGCAAUUCACUCUGGUCUUAAUGACCUACUUCUCAUUCAAUCCUAACAAGUUUUAUCUCAUUUGUUGCAGGUUUACUUCCCUUUUUUCUGGAUACUGCUCCUUUUUGGAUAACGCAAGAGCUAGCAGUCAGGUUCAUAUUUAACUUAGCAGACUCAAAAGAAUUUUAUAUUUUUCACCCUUAAUUUACAGUUUGGAUACAUAAAUUAGAAGUAACGUGCUGCUCACAGGACUUGUGUGAUUGAAAAGAUAGGAUUAUAUCCGAUUAGCUAAUGCAUCUGUCGAGCACCUACCUUCCAUAUCUAAAUUAGAAGUUAAAUAAAUUUCUAGCUAGUGGCAAAGGGCUUGGUGGUUGGUACCCGAGACCCAAGUUCCAAUCCUAGUUGAUUCACAUUUCCAGCUAAGUUUAUUUCUAAAUGAAAUAAACGAAGCGGGUAGCGUGCUACCUAUCUCUCAAAAAAAAAAAAAAAAAAAAAAUUUCUGUCUCAAGACAUCUCUUGCUCUUCAUUUCACAUGCUAGGCCUGAACAUUGAAGCAAUGGAUUAGUCAUGUAAGACAAACAAUUUAUAAUGAUUAUUAUAAAUACUUUCUACAACUAAACAUGACUACUUGUCCAGUAAUUUUUUUCCAGGGGAAAUUAGAGAAGCGCGACAAAGCAUUCGAGUUGUUUUAAGGUAUUGAGUAUUAGGACAUCCUUCGUCUUACUGCAUGCAUGUGUUCUUCUAUUUUCUUGGUGCAGGUUUAGAGAAAGACUCCAUGUAGUAUUGCAUUUUCUUUCUUUUUAUUUUCUAUUGCCAGAUGAGUGAAAAAUGUGUAAGAAAGAAAUUAUCCUCUUUUGGAGCAAAUUAAGAGGUUAAGCUUAAAUGCUUCAAUUUUGUUUCCCCUCACUUUAUCUGCAUUUAUCCUAAAGAUAAUUUAACAUUGUUUGAUUCCUGCACAAGUAACAAACCUCAUCGCAUGGUGAGCUUGUUCUGUUUGUGUCUUAUCUGAUGAAGUUGUUAAGCUUCUUUGAAGUAGCUUAAACACCUAAUUUGGAAACUGUUUAUUUCAAGCUAUGUUUACUUAGCAGCAUAACAAGCACCCAGGUUAAACUUGUGAACUUAAUUUCUGUGGUAUAAAUUAUACUUUAAAUAUUGUUAAACUUAUUUUAAGCUUCUAGUGCAGGUUGCAUCGACAUUUGGAGUAAAUUUGGUAGGUGUGCUCUGUCGAAAAGGCUCGGUCAGACUCUUUGUGAAAGGAAAACGAGGCUACACUACAGAAGGCACGAACUUAACAACCAUAUUCAGCAGCUACCAGAUUUUAAUCUCUUUAUCAAUUUUUUUGAAAAAAUAAAAUUUAAUUUUCUAAUGCCUUGAAGAUAGAAAAACACAUUCAGAAUUGAACCAUUUUGGCGGUUGUUGUUCAUGUUUCAGUUCAGUCUUCAAUCUAAGUUUGGUUUUGAUUCAGAUUUUUCGGACAUUAGUGCUUUUCAAGUGUUCAUUUUCUGUCUAUACUGAACACACUCUAUUGAAGAGCUCCUCAUUUUUUCUUUUUUUUUUAAAAAAAUUUACACCCUCUUAACUUUUCUAUUCAGCUAUUUCAGUUAAUUAAAGUGAAAACUUUGUUAAUUUUAAUGGUAUUAUUUUUUUCUAUAAUUUAAUGCUUCAAUAAAAUUAUUUUUAGUAGUUUUUUUGUGUAACCAAACACCACACAUUAUGUGCACUGAGAAACAAUUGCCUGUACCCAGUGUACACAUAUAUGUGCACCGCACCAGUAUAUGAUCCCAUAUGUUUGAUCUAAAAUAUCUAAAGAGCCUAUACUGGAAAAAUUGUGAUUUUUUGAAAAGGGUAAACUUCAAAUUGCCUCCCUGUGGUUUAACUUAUUUUUAUUUUAUCAUUCAAUGGUUUAAAAAAUUAUAUUUAAUUAUUUUAUGUUUUAGCGUAUUUUUUACUUUGUCAUUCUAUCAUUAUUUUCAAAAUCUUUUUACUUUACCGUCCUGUUGGACAUAAAAUUUUUUGUUGAAACAAAAAUUAAAUCACGUAGAUAUCGAUUGAGCAGUUUUGAGAUUUAGGCUUCGUUUGAAAUUACGGGGAGAUUGCGCUACGUGCGGUGAGAAAGUACGAUAAAAAAUAUCUUGUUUGUUUUCAUAUGUAAUAUUACGUUUCGCAUAUCGUAAUUAGUCGAUUAUGAUAUAUUUUCUAUGGUCCCAUCGGAGAACGCAGAAGUGUAUCCCUAUAUGCUUUUAUUCCAACUCCAUUUUAUCAAAUAGAACCUCAAUACCAAACUAAGCCUUAGUGGUAGAAAAAGAAUAAAAGUUUUUGAUUUAUAAAAAGUCAGUGUCAAAUUUAUUUAUUUAUUUAUUUAUAUACAUAGGACAUUUAAAUACAAAAGAUGCAGCCAAUAAUUAAUUCCCUUAAUAUGUAAUUACUUCUAUGUAAUUUUUCAAUUCGUAACUUUUUAAAAUCCAAGCCCAAUUCAAUUAAUAUGAUCUACAACAAUAAAGGGAUUAUAUAUAAAAAAUUACAUGAUUUAUAAAAAAUAUAUAUUUCUGUAACAUCAAGUAAAAUAAAAAAUCAGUGACUGCCUAUAACGCAUCGGUAAAAUACUAGAUUAAAUUUAAGCUAAUAUAAGAAAAAUUUUUGUAAAUAUUCGUCUUUUCUCUUUCUCUCUCUAACUUCUAAAAAUAUAUUCGUCUUUUCUCUUUCUCCUUCUAACUUUUAAAAAUUUAUAUAUUUUCUGCCUCGAAGUUUCAAGUUGAUGUACUUUGUCUCCGCCGUCAGAAUUCUGUCACUGUCCCAUCUUUUUCUUAUAAUUUAUGACGGGAUAUGUCCGUAAAAAUAUAUUAAAAAGCUAAAUUUUUUUCCGUAGAAUUGAGUAACGGUAGUUUUGUCAUUUCACCCACUUCAAUAACAUUGUAAUUCUCUUAAAAAUAUCUGAAAUUUUUAAAGGCAAAACAUAGAUUUUUCAUAAAUCAGAAAAAAAAAGAAAGAAAAGGUGAGUAUUUAUAUAAGAGUUUUAUGCAUUUUAGCCUUGGUUUUAAUCUUAAUAUCUCUAUCACAAAAUUUUAGAAAUGUGAUGUAUAUGAUGUACUUAUAUAUAUGUAGGCAAUAAUUUGCCUUGUGACUACUUUGUAAAGUUUGUAUGGCCAAAACCCAAUCUAGUAUAUGUCAUCUACCCCAAUAAACAUACAAUGUAUUAAAAUUUCUAAGGUUUAAAAUAUUUUUACUAUAGCAUUAAGUAGUCUCAAAACUUUGUAAGAACUUGCAAAACGUGGAUAAAGAACUACUUAGAUUUUAAUUCUUAAGACAAAAAAAAAAAGAGAAGUACAGAGACCCUCUGAACUUUAGUUUUGCAGUAAAUAAGACAUCGAAACUUUUAAUUUUGAUAAUUAAAUUUUGUAAAUUUUAUUAUAUUGUUAAUUUCUGAACUUUUGGUAGAGUUUUACUUUACUCUCUAAACUCAUAAAAUGAACAUCUAAUGCUCUAAACUCUAAAUAUUUCAUACAUAUUACUUUUUCCGUCAGUUUUCGGUUAACAUAGCUUGACGGUAAACUGAUGGAAAGAAUAACAUGAAUGAAACAUUUAGAGUUUAGAGUAUUAGAUGUUCAUUUUAUGAGUUUGGGGGGUAAAGUAAAACUCCACCAAAAAUUUAAAAAGUAACAGUGCUAUUUAUCCUAUAGAACUAGGCUGGAAUACUAUCAAUAGCACAAAGUUGUUGGUGCUAUUAGCUUUUUAGCCCUUAGAUUGAGAAAUGUGCGAUUAGCAUGAUGUGGACUCCCCAAGAUUAAGUGGGUGGUUGGUUGAAUAGCAUAAUCUAACGGGUAAAAAUAAUUAAAAAAAUUAAUCUAACGGCAGAAAACUUGAUAGCACUAAGUGCUUGGUGCUAUCGAUAGUAUAGUAGCCGGACUCUUAUCCUAUAUAUUUUAUUUUUUUUUGAUUAAACAGGGAUAUACCCUAUUUGAAAGAGUAGCUAGUAGGUAGGGACAAAGGCAAUUUAAUACACAGGUCAAAACCCUAAUCUGAACACUAAUAACAGAGGAGUAUUUGUUAAAGAACUCCCCUGACAAAAUACUCUUCCCUCAACCCAAAAUAAAAUAAAUCCCAAAACAGAAGAGAUCGUUGCAAAGAGAAAGGAAGCUAGCUUGUUAGAGCCGACUCCCAUAGCAUGGCGGCCUCGCAGAUUCUUAUUAAAAUAUAUAGGACUCUUAUCCUAUAUAUUUUAAUAUACACUAUUGUUUUGGUAGAGUUCUUUUUUUUUUUGAAAAAUAAAUAGCAUAUUAUUUAUUUCGUUUAUUUUAAUUAGAAAUAAAUUUAACUGAAAAUAUAAAUCAACUGCAAUGAUUCAAACUCGGGAUCUUAGAUAUCAACAACCAAACCCAUUACAAAAGAGUUAAUUAAAGUUCAGAGGCUCUUUGUACAUUUUCCCCUUGUACGAUCUAUAAACCUCUAUUAUUGGUUAUGCAGACCGUAAUUUCUCCCUCGGGAAGGGUGUGGAGUGGGGUGGGGCCGGAUAGAUUCCUCUGUCGGCAGUAAUUGAGUUUCGUUGGCUGUCACAGAAGGCAGACAAAUUUGACCAGUAAGUCUUCUCUACGAAACACUUCCAUUUCAUUUCCUCCCCUCUUCCCAGAAGCAUUCAAGAAAUUACUCCUCCCCAGUUUUUUAUUCUUUUGGUAUGUCCUAGCUAUAUGCUUGUUAAAAAUUAAUUUGAAACAAACUGUUUAUCUCAAGAAGCUUAACUUGCUUGCUACCGAAUUAAAGUGGGCAUAUUUUGAUUUAGUGUUUGAUUUCUCAAAAAAUAUUUUUGAAAAUAAUUUAUUUAUUUUUUUAUUUAGCUUGUUUAGUUUCUAAAUUUUAUCCUAAAAUUGUCUUCCCUAUUCAAAAAAUAAAAAUUAUAUUUUUUUUCCCCGAAAAACAUGGACUGGUUUUCAAAUUUUUAUUUUCAAAAAAAAGAAAAAAAAAAGAAAAUUGGGGAAUCAACACACCCACUUAAUUAGUGGGGGGCUUAAUUUUGUUGUCGAAUAAAGCAGUCAUGCUUUAUUUAUUUCUCCUCCUAAAUCUUUCUUCCUCUUCGUCCAACUGUUUCACUCCAGGAGUUUGAUCAAUUGCCCGAUCGAGUAGUGGUGAGGUAGUAGGAGCUCGAGCUAUUAGGAGGAUCGUAAUAAUGGCUUUACCUUUCAUUGCCGAAUCGGUGGCGUCGGCGAUCAUCGACAAUCUUGUUGGCACAUGCUUAUCCUACCUUGAGGUGUACCCGGCGACCAGCGGCAUGCAGUACGAGCUCGAACGGCUGCAGCAGGCACUUCCGCAGGUCCAGGCAGUUCUGACUGCAGUCGAGGAGGGUGCGCCGGUCAUGGCACAGAACAAGGCGCUGGAUACGUGGCUGUGGCAGCUCAGAGACGCCGUGGAGAAUGCGGAGGACGUGCUCGACGAGCUCGAGUACUACGAGUUACAGAAGAAGACUACACGAGAUCGAGAUGACAAGGUGCGUGGUAUUCUAUCUAACUGCAAGAGAAAGUUUGAUAGUUUCGUUAAUCGUAUCUUUAGCGAUGACACACUGAGGCGGUUGAGGGAGGCCGUCAAGGGGUUGGAUCGGGUCAUUGCCGGUAUGGGGCCACUCCUUCAUCUUGUUGCUGGGUUAUAUGGCUCUGGCGUUAAGCGUCAGAACCUCGAGGAAAUUAAGAAUGCUCGCGAGACUAGCUCCUUGCUAACCGAAAGUGAGGUGCUCGGACGAGACGAGGAGAGGGACCUGAUAGUUGAAUGGCUUAUCAAACCGGGAGAUGCCGAUGUCAAUGUCUCCGCUUUUACAAUUGUUGGUAUGGGCGGGCUCGGGAAGACCACUCUUGCUCAACUAGUCAAUUGCGACAAAAGGGUGCGAGAGUACUUCGACCCGAUUAUGUGGGUCUGCGUUUCUCUGGACUUUGAUGCAGCUGCGAUAACAAGAAAGAUGUUAGACAACUCUUGCUCAACUAGUCUAAAUGCACUCCAUGAGAUUGUUAAACAGAAACUUACAUCGAAGAGGUUUUUGCUUAUACUAGAUGAUGUUUGGAACGAUGAUAAAAUGACAGAGUGGGAGAAAUUGGUUACUCCUUUGAAAUUCGGACAGAGAGGAAGCAAGAUCCUGUUGACAACUCGAAUGGAUUCAGUUGCGAAUAUGGCGGCAAAAGUGAUGAAAUGCAAACGAGAAUCAUUAAAUCUAAAUAAGUUGGAGGAGAGCGACUAUAUGUUGCUUUUCAAUAAGCAUGCAUUCCUCGGUGUGAAUCCUGAUGAUUAUAAAAACUUGCAACUGAUUGGCGAACAUAUAGCGACGAAACUUGGAGGAUGCCCAUUGGCCAUAAAGGUCAUGGGAGGAAUGCUGAACUCCUGCAUGGACUAUGAAUAUUGGAAGAAAAUCCUGGAAAAAGACAACAUGAAAUUACAACAAGGAAA
rnacentral:lncRNA from 1 species